CACGGAGUUAGCCGGUGCUUAUUCAUUCGGUACCGUCACACAAGGACGCAUCCCUGCUCUUCUUCCCGAAUAAAAGCCGUUUACAAUCCUGAGGACCUUCUUCCGGCACGCGGCAUGGCUGGGUCAGACUUGCAUCCAUUGCCCAAUAUUCCCUACUGCUGCCUCCCGUAGGAGUCGGGCCCGUAUCUCAGUGCCCGUGUGGGGGAUCAACCUCUCAGCUCCCCUAUCGAUCGUCGCCUUGGUAGGCCGUUACCCUGCCAACUAGCUAAUCGAACGCAUGCCCAUCUUUUACCAAUAAAUCUUUCACAUUUAAACCAGGUGGCCUUAAUGUAGUAUGCGGUAUUAAUCCGGGUUUCCCCGGGCUAUCCCCCAGUAAAAGGUAGGUUGCAUACGCGUUACGCACCCGUACGACAGUGACAUUGCUGCCCCUUCGCCUUGCAUGUAUUAAGCCUGCCGCUAGCGUUCAUCCUGAGCCAGGAUCAAACUC
rnacentral:rRNA from 1 species